UCAGGAUGAACGCUGGCGGCGUGCUUAACACAUGCAAGUCGAACGAUGAAGCCCAGCUUGCUGGGUGGAUUAGUGGCGAACGGGUGAGUAACACGUGAGUAACCUGCCCUUAACUCUGGGAUAAGCCUGGGAAACUGGGUCUAAUACCGGAUAGGAGCGUCCACCGCAUGGUGGGUGUUGGAAAGAUUUAUCGGUUUUGGAUGGACUCGCGGCCUAUCAGCUUGUUGGUGAGGUAAUGGCUCACCAAGGCGACGACGGGUAGCCGGCCUGAGAGGGUGACCGGCCACACUGGGACUGAGACACGGCCCAGACUCCUACGGGAGGCAGCAGUGGGGAAUAUUGCACAAUGGGCGCAAGCCUGAUGCAGCGACGCCGCGUGAGGGAUGACGGCCUUCGGGUUGUAAACCUCUUUCAGUAGGGAAGAAGCGAAAGUGACGGUACCUCA
rnacentral:rRNA from 1 species